rnacentral:rRNA from 1 species
ACGGCUCAGUAACACGUGGAGAACGUGCCCUUAAGUGGGGGAUAAUCUCGGGAAAUUGAGGAUAAUACCCCAUAGAUCAUGGCAUCUGGAAUGAGUCAUGGUUCAAAGUUCCGGCGCUUAAGGAUCGCUCUGCGGCCUAUCAGGUAGUAGUGGGUGUAAAGUACCCCCUAGCCUACGACGGGUAUGGGCCUUGAGAGAGGGAGCCCAGAGUUGGAUUCUGAGACACGAAUCCAGGCCCUACGGGGCGCAGCAGUCGCGAAAACUUCACACUGGGGGCAACCCCGAUGAGGGAAAUCCUAGUGCUAGGACUUUUGUUCUAGCUUUUCUCAAGCGUAGAUAACUUGAGGAAUAAGGGCUGGGUAAGACGGGUGCCAGCCGCCGCGGUAAUACCUGCAGCCCAAGUGGUGGUCGAUUUUAUUGAGUCUAAAACGUUCGUAGCCAGUUUGGUAAAUCUUUGGGUAAAUCGGGAGGCUUAACUUUCCGACUUCCGAAGAGACUGCCAAACUUGGGACCGGGAGAGGCUAGAGGUACUUCUGGGGUAGGGGUAAAAUCCUGUAAUCCUAGAAGGACCACCGGUGGCGAAGGCGUCUAGCUAGAACGGAUCCGACGGUGAGGGACGAAGCCCUGGGUCGCAAACGGGAUUAGAUACCCCGGUAGUCCAGGGUGUAAACGCUGCCGACUUGGUGUUGGAGGCCCUUCGGGGGCAUUCAGUGCCGGAGAGAAGUUGUUAAGUCGGCUACUUGGGGAGUACGUCCGCAAGGAUGAAACUUAAAGGAAUUGGCGGGGGAGCAC